AGCAGAGAAAGAAGAAGGUCUCCCAGGGUGAGAAUAGCAUAGGACUUGCACUGGGAAGGUGGAAGAGAAGUCCCCAGGUAUGGCUCUAGGGUGAGGGGACCCAGGUCUGUCUGGUUGCAGGAGAGCCUGGGGCAAAAAGGUAGAGGUACAAGAGGUAGGGCCUGCUCUUUUCCCAACUCAAACCCACCUACUGUCAU